AAAAAUGAACUCCGUUUAAAAAGCUCUCAUCACAUUACCUGAGAUGUCUUCUAUGAAACAAGGUGGUGUGUUCUUGCCCAGGAUUCCUGCUGACAACUUUGGCAGAGGACUUCAUGCCAAGGCUGAACUGAGAGCAGGGCUGGCUUUGGGAUGCGGCAUCAAGGUGCCAUCUUGGAAGGACAGAGCAG